AGAUCCCUGUACGUCAAAACCAUGUCGAAAUGGCGGGACCUGUAAGGUGAAAAGCAAAGGAUUUGCUUGCACCUGUAAGUCUCCAUACUCAGGAAAACUGUGCGAAAUAGAUCCCUGUUCAUCAAAUCCAUGUAAGAAUGGUGGCAUGUGUAAAGUUACAGCUGAAGGAUUUACGUGCAUCUGUGAACCUCCAUACUCAGGAAAACUCUGCGAAAGAGAUCUAUGUUCAUCAAACCCAUGUAAGAAUGGAGGUAUUUGUAACGUUACAGCUGAAGGAUUUAUCUGCAUCUGUAAACCUCCAUACUCGGGAAAACUGUGCGAAACAG